AGAGUUUGAUCCUGGCUCAGAUUGAACGCUGGCGGCAUGCUUUACACAUGCAAGUCGAACGGCAGCGCGGGCUUCCGCCUGCUCUCGAUUGGCAAUGGGGUGAGGAAGACGUCUAAACGUGACUCGUAGUGUUGGAGAGCCAGGCUAAAGCCGGAUUAAUACCGCUUACGACUUGAAGCUGAAAGCGGAGGACCGAAAGGCUUCGCGCUAGUGCAGCGAUCUACGUCGGAGUAGCUUUAUGGUGGGGUAAAGGCCUACGAAGGCGACGAUCCCUAUCUGGUCUGAGACGACGACCAUCCACACUGGCACUGAAACUCAGCCCAGACUCCUACUCGAGGCAGCAGUGGGGAAGUUUGGACUAUGGGGGCGACCCUGAUCCAGCUAUGCCGCGUGCGCGAGGAAGGCCUUCGGGUUGUAAACCGCUUUUGCUUUGGAAGAAAUCCUCUGGGCUAAUAUCCCGGGCUGAUGACUCUACCUGAACAAUAAGCACCGGCUACCUACAUGUCAGCGCCCGCAGUCAUACGUAUGCUGCGAGCGUUAAUCUUAAUUACUGUUAGUAAAGCUUGCGCAUGCGUAUGUGCAUGACAGAUGCUAAAUCCCCGGGCUUAACCUGAGAACUGCAUUUGUGACUGCUCCGCUACAAUGCGACUGGGGUAAAUGGAAUUCCACGUGUAGCUGUGACAUGCAUAUAUAUACAGAUGAACACCAAUGUCCAUGGCAACUCCCUCUGCCUGCACUGACGCUCAUGCACAAGAGCGUGAGCAUCAAACAGGAUUAGAUACCCUGAUAGUCCACGCCCUAGACGAUGUCAACUCGUUGUUGAUCCUUCACUGGAUCAGUAACGUA
rnacentral:rRNA from 1 species